GACCGCCCUGCAGAGCAGGGAGGCGGAGGGAGGCUGAGGCUCUCCUCCAGCAACAGGAGUCCCAGCCCCUUUCCGUGCUCCGAGUGCGAACACCCUCUCCCACUUCCCCCACAGCCCUCUUGCAAUUGACUCCUGGUGCUGAUGACUGCCCUGGGAAAUGUUAAAAUAAGAUGUGGUGGCUCUGGAAGGCAUGAGUCAGGGUUGGGCAGCAGCCAAAGCUGCCACCAGUCUCCCUUCCCCGGCUGCCGGCGGACUCUGGACAGGGAGCCGGCAGCCCCAGGAAGCAUUCGUGGUGGAGACCCAGAGGUGGCUGCCUCACUUCCCUCCCAAGCUUAGGGUCCUCUGUGCCCCUGCGUCCCAGGUGGGGCAAAAGCAGCUGCCACUGGCUGGCUGGAGCCCCAGCCCCGGGCCUACAGAGGGUCCCUCUUUUCUUCACCUCUAGCAAAUCACCUUCUCCCCUCUCUUCCUCUGGUUCCCUGCCAGCUCCCGGUCCCCUGGAAUGCUGGUUCCAAUCUGGCUUCCAAAUCUCCUUUCAGCCAGACACCGGCCCUCACAUCACCUCCCCUCCUGCUCGGCUGCCCUCAUUCUUUGGAUCCCUAGGCUGACACUCCCGCCGGCCCUUCACCUUCCCUUACUGAUCCCAGAACGAGGGACGGAGCGAGCACCUCCACGCUACAAAUCCAGCCCCGUGUCCUGCAGAUGCAGCGGUCCUGGAUGCAGGUUUGGGGGAGUCCAGCGGGGAGGCCCCUGGGCCAGCAGAGCCCCCCAGAGACGCCGGCCCCCCCCCCCCCCCCCCCGAGGCACUGGCCGGUGCCAGCACGUGGCUCGAGCCCCGCUUGUCCAGACCCGGAGCUCCUCACACCGCCUUCUCAGGGGCAGACGCACACCGCCCACGUCCAGUGGGGGUGACUCAGGCUGUACUUGGGCCCGGGCUCCGAGCCCAGCAUCGCCCCCACCCCCUCCGAGAAGAGACGGGUGAAGAGACCAGGCUCUUGGCCUCCAGAGCCUUGCCGCAAACCCCGGACCCGAGCGCGGCUUCCCAUCUACGAAGCGGAGGAAGGAACGCCCGCCUGGCGAGACCGUUGGCAACACUGGGUGCCAUAUUCACGCGACGCGUUCAGCAGAGUCUGAACUUCCCGGGAGAGGUCCCAACAGAAGGGUCUGUCGCUGAAACCGAGCUCAAAUUACUUGGGCUCAGAGGAAAGAACCAUAGGCUCUGCUGGCUGGAAGGAACCCCAGAGGUUCAUCGAUGGCAAGCUCCAGUCUCUAAAUUCAGCUCACUCCAGAAAUAACAGCCUCUACCCACUCCCAAGCGUGGGAAGAGUUCGGGAACAGCAUUUCUGAAACUUCAAGAUUCUGCAAGCCUCUUCCCCAGGUAUCACAACAUCCCCGUCUCUCCUCGGGCUCCCAGACCCACCUGGAAGCUGGGCCCAGAGCUGAGCCAGCAGGGUUGAAUAAUCCUCCCUCCAACACGUCACACCCAGCAGCACUCUUGUGCAGUGCUCUUUCCUGUUCAUCACUUGAGUGCCUGGCAAGGCGAUUCAAAACCUGGGGCCAGAUGUUUACACUGGCAUAUAGAGGAUUCCAGCCCAGGGAAAGCCUGUGCAGGAUGGCCCAUGGGCCCCUCAUAAUCUGACUGUGGAAGUUCUUUUGAAAAGGGAGGCACCUGCCUAGGUCUUUGCAGCCUGUCCCUUGAAGCCACCUGUUCUAAGGUCAUAGCCACUUCACUCCAAACUUCCAAUUCUAAAGCCCGCUGCCCUAACAUGCACCCCAAUGUUUAAAGCAGCACUAAUGACAACAGCCAAAGUAUGGAAAGAACCCAAAUGUCCACCGACUGAUGAAUGAAUAAAAAGA